CCCACUCCUUACCUUGAUGAAGAACUGCUGUUUGAGGCAGCGGUACUGGGCGAACUGGCAGAAGGUCUGGAACUGCACUACCUCUGGAAAUUCAGAGCAGACUGGCCCUAGAGACAGAGAUGUGGGAUGGAGGCAGGCCUGGGUGCACCAAGAGAUGGGGACCCUCUCAGGUGGCAGCUUGUGGAUGCAGGGAAGGUCCAAGCUCUGUGCCCCAAGGUGGCGAUCACAGCCUUGGGCUGUCAGAGGUCCCAAUUCCAGGCACCACAUCCCAUUUCCCUCCAGCCCCCUGAGGGUUUCACUGUGUCCUUCUGCCCUUUUUCACACAGUUACCUUCCCUAUGACAGAUACACAAAUUUCCUGUUUCCAGGAUCUGAUGCUUCUGUUAUUAGUCCUUGCUGGGUUUGAAAAAGAGAAAAAAGUUAAGUAAUGAUAUAAUAGGUUAUAAAGAUGACCAGACCAGCCUGGGAACACCAGAGAAUCAGAGAAUGGUUUGGUUUGGAAGGGUCCUUAUAGAGCAUCAAGUUCCAAGUCCCCUGCCGUGGGCAGGGACCCCUUCCACAGGACCAGGUUGUUCAAAGACCCAUCCAGCCUGGUCUUCUUGGGUCAGGGAUGGGGCUGCGACAGCUUCUUCAGGCAGAUGGCUCCAGAGGAGACAAAUUCUUCAGGGCAAUAUAAAUUGACAUUGAUUCCAGCCUUGCAGGGGAUGGAGGAGGUUCCAUAGGGCCAGGAUGCUGCUGGCAAAGCCUGUGCCAAACACAUAAACUGCAGUUUGACCAGCACUGCCAGCACACUGAAUCCAGAGCUGCAGCUCCUGCAGUGAUUGCAGGAAAGCCAAGGGCGUGCAGGAGAGCAGAAAACCCUGAAGAAUUGGCUGAUCUUGUGCUCCCUCUUCUCUAGGAGUGCAUGGCCUGGCUGGCACAGCCAGCCCUGUGAGAAGAGGGGGAGUGCUGGCUGAGAGGGAGGGCAUUAGCAGUGAAAUUGCACUGCUCUCCUGAUGUUGCUCAUGCACCACCCUUUACCCUGUGCUCCCUUCUUGUGCUGAGCAAACAGCUGCACCAUCAAAAGUAGAAUUUCAGACACACACCAGGAUCCCAGCCCAGAAAAACGCCCAGCUUGUAGGGAAAACUCCAGAACCCCACCCCAUCCCUUGCUUAAAGCACAAGGUGUUGCAGGGAGCACUCCAGAUCCUCACACUGUGCUUUGUUUAGAGCACAAGGUGACUGCCUUCCUCAGCACCACACCUGGAUGGGCACAGUCAAUGCUCAUGGAUAUCUGGGUGUAGACAGCACUGCCACACUCUGUGAGGACAGCAGAGGCUAAACAUCAGAGGGCACACACUCUGCCACAUCUGUUCCACCUCUCAGCCUGGCUGAAACAUGCCAAAAUAGCCCCCAAACUGGAAAAAAGAUGUUUCUAUUCUUGAGAACUGAUCUCUGAAGGCAGCAGCAGUGGGAGUGUGGCUGGACAUGACAAAGAGCAGUGCUGGGGAAUUGGGCACCACGAAGAGAGCCAGGGACAGACCCUGAGUGCACAAAGCACCAGGGCACAGUGGAUUGCAGGGGCCCAAAAGUGAGUGAGGAGCACAGGACCCAUCCCUGGGUCUGGAGAUGUGGGGUGGGACUCGUUCCCCCAACACAGCUGCAGAAACCAGCAAGAAAUAGUUGCCCUCAAGCUGCAGUCCAAAUAAGCACAGUUGGCUGAUCAUUCAGCUCAUUGACGUUCAUAUCUAAAUAUAAAGACAUAUUUUUUUAUGAGAAAAUUGCUCCUAUUUUUUUUCCUCUGAAGAAAAAUACAACAGAAGUAGUCCCAAGUUUUUCAGCUGCACAGAUAUAAUUAUACCACUUAAAUUCUCUGAUGCAGGGGUGCAGGGAAAAUAUGACUGCAGAGAUCUGAAGGGUGCUGUUGCUAUGGUGCUUUCUGAACUGGGAUGUUUCUUGGCUCCUGAAAUGUUAAACACUUAAAAAGGCAGCUUAUCAUCUCAAGUUUUCUUAAAGACCUACGAGAGCCCAUGAGCCAAGAUUCUGCAUUAACCCUCAGAUGAAGCUGGAAGGAGCUGGUAAGAGAUGAGGAGCUACAAUGAGUUUAAGAAAAUUGUGGCCACUUUUUCCUCCUGCCACCCCACCAACAGAGAUGGGGAGAAAGGAAGGGCCACCAAAGUGGCUGUGGCUUUUUUGGCUUUACAUGACCUGGAAAGAAAGGCUGGGACAGCAGUGCUUGCUCAGCUGGGUGAGGAGGAGGAGUCACAGCAGCCCACAAGGGCUUGAAGGAAACCUACAAGAGGACAAACCCUUUUUGGUGGUGCCAGACCGGGCAGAGGAGGAAGAAAUGGAGAGCGGGAAAAACAUGUGAAUUCCUGCUUAGGAGGUUAGGGCUGGCCUUUGGGAAAAGUUUUUUUUCUCCAGGAAAGUGGUGCAGCAGUGAAAGGGACACUCAGAGAG